ensembl:lncRNA
GCUCGCCAUGCCCCUCACUGUUGGCCAGACGGUCCCUGCCACUGCCGCUUGGGCAGUGCCAGCCACUGUGGUUCUGGCACCGUUCAGCGCCUCUCUUCAUGUGAGGCGCCUGCAAGGAGAUGCCACUACCGCUGCCCCUGCCCUUCUGCCCGCAGCACAGCUGGCUUCAAAAGCGGCCAAGCAAGCACAGUUCCCUGUGGACUGUGCCAAGAUGGCUGUGGCUGUGCCAGGAAACAGCAGCUGGUGCCACUACCCCUGCCUUUCUGCCCACAGCAUGGCAGGCUAGAAGUGGCCAGGCAGGCACAGUUCACUGCAGGCCAUGCUGAGAUGGCAGCAGCCGCAUGGCCACGGCAGCCUCAUGGCCACCCCAGCAACCCCCAGCCCUCAGAAAAGAAAAACUGCGUGCAUUUUUUUUCCUUCUUAAAUAUGUCAUCACAGAGGCAUUACCAACUUCUCUAAUUGGAGAACAUGUCCAAUUAGAAACAUGUCCAUUAUCAGAGCCUUCAGAGACUGGCUCUGUUGGACAUAGUAGAAGCUUCAAGCAGCGUUCUCUCUCAGAAGCUGCUUCCAUGGCUUCCUCUGCCCUCUCUAAAUCCAGGCUCUUUUAAACCAACAAAAUCAGAUUUAGGAAAAACACAACAGGAGUGACAGCCUGAGCUUUAUGAAGUUUUCUGAAAUUCUGCAGUCAGGAAGAAUUUGACUACAACACCACUAUUUAAACACGUUGUUUCCCCUUAAGUUAACAAAACAGAGCACUGGAAAAGGGCAAGGUAAUUUCCAGAUUUGUAGCAUGUUUCUAGCUAAUCUAUCAAAACAAGAUAUACAAAUUUAACUCACAAGUAUCCUAUUUAAGUUUAAUAAUAGCAGAUCUAUUUAAUAGCAGAUCUAUGUAACCUGAAGAUAUAUUAACCAAAAGCUUCUUCUUAAAUUUAUUUUUAUUUCCUGCCACCAUCUCAGUAUCUAGAAUAUAAUAGAAAAUGGGAUAAAAUCAUAUUCAAAACAAACCUUGUUGAAAUAACUGGUGAUGAUAGCUCUGAGCUCAGCAGCAGACAAAGAAACUAGUUUCCCUAUUACGUUAUGCUGGCUCUGUGAAAGACUCUGAGAAGAUAACCUAAGUAAGUGCUGGUGAUUAUGGAUACUUUCAUUCUUGUAAUCAAUUGCAGCUACAAGGGUUUCAAUUCCUUCUUCUAGCUGGAAAAGAAUAUGUUCUUCCUACAGAGAAACACAUGAGUGAGAUCUUUACAAAAAAAAAAGCUCAGAAUUAAUCUUUCAAGACAUCUUUAGCUUCAUUCUCAAGAGCAAACCUGAACUUAAUGGUAAGGUGAACUAGUAGCACAGACAAUGGAAUAGGAAAACAAGAGGUAGAUUGCAAAUCUAGAACAUUUGUUUUUUCCUAACACAAUACAGGGGUUGAUCAAAUGGCUCAUCACAAAACUAGAAGUCAUGUUUUCCUUUUUAUCCUUCCCUCAUCCUCACCACAGUUUGACUCCUGCUAUUUUUAAUUUUUUUAAUGUACUAUUUUCUGUUAGAUUAAUGAAUUAAUCAAUCAGCCAGUAAGGAGUUUGGUGAUCAUGACUUAUGUAGGGAAGUGGCAGAAAUGCCUGGCCUGAAGCACUGCAGACUUUGAUGAGUGAGGCAAGUAGGGGUCUUUCUGGAACAUUAUCGCCUAAGCCAUAGUCUCAUAUUGCUUCUCAAGACCUAAAAGCAAUCUGUGCAUUUUAUAUUAAUUUAUUUUAUCUUCAACAAAAUGAUACUGAUCAACACCAAGUAAUUGGCCAUCCAUGUAAUAUGACUUUUUUCACUGUAGAAAAUAAGUAGUACUCCUUCAGGUGAAAUUUGCUUUUUCACAAGAUUCUAUGAAAAAAAUCAAGGGGCAUUACUAUGUGAAUACAUGGCUUGUUCUGUAUCCUAACAUUAAAAUACCUGCCUGUGAUAAACAAAUUAAGUUCUGGUUCCCUUACUUCUCAUUAUAUGACUCUUAGACUAAUAGAGUUUGGCAAGACACAAUCUGACUUAUGUUCCUCUGAUCUUAAACUUCAUUCACCAGUAUAUACUUGGUGCUAUUAUAGAAGUACUCUAAAAUAUCUAUUUACAAAAGUAUCCAACCUCUGCUCCUUAUAUCUAGCUUACCUGAUAUUUGGAGACAUUUUAGGUUAUGACUGAAAUUCUUUAUUAUCAAACAAUACCUAAAACCUGUAUUUAUCUCAGAAGUGCUUACUUACUUCAGUUGACAAAACUUUACCAUCUUUCAGUUUCUUAUCCAUACUAUUUCUCCUUCUGAGCAGCUGAUCCCUUUCCAUUUGGAGAACCUGUAUUUCUUCCAAAGUGUCUGACUUGUCAGUGGUGCUGCCCUGAAGCUGCAUACAGCAUGCUGAAUUGGGUAGACAAUUGCAUACUAUCUUUGUUCAAAGCCAAAAAAAAAAAACCCACAGCAACCACAGAUAUAAAAAUGAGAUAUUCCUUUCCAGUAACAAAAAUGUAGGUGACACUGUCACAUUCUGAAGUGAAAAAAUUGCUUGUUUCUUGUAAUGGGACCUCAUUUACUCUGAGUGACAGAUACCACUAAAAAAAAAAAAAAAAA